GGUGAGAUGGCCGAGUGGUUAUGGCGCUGCGUUCAGGCAUCUGCAGUAUUCUCUGUAGCUAAACGCUGAACAAGUUUCGCAGUGGAGCAAUCCGCGUGGGUUCGAGUCCCACUCUCAUCA